rnacentral:misc_RNA from 1 species
AAUGAUUGACUUUCCAUAACAAUAUUAUUAAUAAAUAUUAUAUUUAAUUUAAUCCCAGUUCAAUUCUUAUUGAAUCUGUGAUAUUAAAUAUUCUUACUCUCCCUUUUCUAGAGAUAUUUAUGUUCCUCUAGGUUUGUUAAUGCUUAUAUAGUUUAUCUCAUCCUUAGUUCUGCAGAUGUCUUCAAUGUAUUGUAUAAGUUGAGGAGUGCAGGAAUCUUUUGAAUGAGCUAAUAAUUUUGCUAAUAUUUUGGACAGCAUAGAUAAUGUGGUUUGAUUUUAAUGUAACAUUGUCAUUUCUAUGUCUAAGAGAUCUAAUAGUCAAGGCAGAUGUUGCGUACUUAAUGCCUUCCUACCUUAUCAGAUUUUAACUUUACCUCCUGUGAUUUAUUUUGAAGAAUUCCUUGCCUUAUCCUUGAUUUUUCUCUCACAUAUAAUUGUGCAGGUCUUUCAGCCAUGGAUCCAG